rnacentral:rRNA from 1 species
UACGUAGGGGGCAAGCAUUGUCCGGAUUUAUUGGGCGUAAAGAGCGUGUAGGCGGCCGAAUAAGUCUGACGUGAAAUCUGGAGGCUCAACCUCCAGCUGUCGUUGGAAACUAUUCGGCUAGAGUCCGGAAGAGGAGAGUGGAAUUCCCGGUGUAGCGGUGGAAUGCGUAGAGAUCCGGAAGAACACCAGUGGCGAAGGCGGCCUGCUGGGCCGGUAUGGGCAUAGCAAUAUGUCCAGUGCUGACGCUGAGGCGCGACAGCGUGGGGAGCAAACAGGAUUAGAUACCCGUAGUAGU